ACUGCUACCUGUCCAGGUGAACCUAUAAUAGACCGUCACCUGUCCAGGUGAACCUAUGACUGACUGCUACCUGUCCAGGUGAACCUAUAAUAGACUGUUACCUGUCCAGGUGAUCCUAUGAUAGACUGCUACCUGUCCAGGUGAACCUAUGACUGACUGCUACCUGUCCAGGUGAACCUAUAAUAGACUGUUACCUGUCCAGGUGAACCUAUAAUAGACUGCUACCUGUCCAGGUGAACCUAUAAUAGACCGUCACCUGUCCAGGUGAACCUAUGACUGACUGCUACCUGUCCAGGUGAACCUAUAAUAGACUGUUACCUGUCCAGGUGAACCUAUGACUGACUGCUACCUGUCCAGGUGAACCUAUGACUGACUGCUACCUGUCCAGGUGAACCUAUGACUGACUGCUACCUGUCCAGGUGAACCUAUAAUAGACCGUCACCUGUCCAGGUGAACCUAUGACUGACUGUUACCUGUCCAGGUGAACCUAUGAUAGACUGCUACCUGUCCGGGUGAACCUAUGACUGACUGCUACCUGUCCAGGUGAACCUAUAAUAGACUGUUACCUGUCCAGGUGAUCCUAUGAUAGACUGCUACCUGUCCAGGUGAACCUAUGACUGACUGCUACCUGUCCAGGUGAACCUAUAAUAGACUGUUACCUGUCCAGGUGAACCUAUGACUGACUGCUACCUGUCCAGGUGAACCUAUGACUGACUGCUACCUGUCCAGGUGAACCUAUAAUAGACCGUCACCUGUCCAGGUGAACCUAUGACUGACUGUUACCUGUCCAGGUGAACCUAUGAUAGACUGCUACCUGUCCAGGUGAACCUAUGACUGACUGCUACCUGUCCAAGUGAACCUAUAAUAGACCGUCACCUGUCCAGGUGAACCUAUGACUGACUGUUACCUGUCCAGGUGAUCCUAUGAUAGACUGCUACCUGUCCAGGUGAACCUAUGACUGACUGCUACCUGUCCAGGUGAACCUAUAAUAGACUGUUACCUGUCCAGGUGAACCUAUAAUAGACUGCUACCUGUCCAGGUGAACCUAUAAUAGACUGUUACCUGUCCAGGUGAACCUAUGACUGACUGCUACCUGUCCAGGUGAACCUAUGACUGACUGCUACCUGUCCAGGUGAACCUAUAAUAGACUGCUACCUGUCCAGGUGAACCUAUAAUAGACCGUCAC